rnacentral:rRNA from 1 species
GCAAGUCGAACGGUAACGAUGGUAGCUUGCUACCAGGCGACGAGUGGCGGACGGGUGAGUACAACUUAGGAAUCUGCCCAGUAGUGGGGGACAACUCGGGGAAACUCGAGCUAAUACCGCGUACGCCCUUCGGGGGAAAGCAGGGGAUCUUCGGACCUUGCGCUAUUGGAUGAGCCUAAGCCGGAGUAGCGUGUUGGUGGGGUAAAAGAGUACCAAGGCGACGAUCCGUAGCUGGUCUGAGAGGACGAUC